rnacentral:lncRNA from 1 species
AAACUCAGAAUCGAAGAACCCCCGAAUCUUUUAAACUCAAAAUCGAAGAACCCCCGAAUCUUUAAACUCAGAAUCGAAGAACCCCCGAAUCUUUAAACUCAGAAUCAAAGAACCCCCGAAUGUUUUCAACUCAGAAUCGAACAACCCCCGAAUCUUUAAACUCAAAAUCGAAGAACCCCCGAAUCUUUAAACUCAAAAUCGAAGAACCCCCGAAUCUUUAAACUCAGAAUCGAAAACCCCCCGAAUCUUUUAAACCCAGAAUCAAAGAACCCCCGAAUCUUUAAACUCAGAAUCAAAGAACCCCCGAAUGUUUUCAACUCAGAAUCGAACAACCCCCGAAUCUUUAAACUCAGAAUCGAAGAACCCCCGAAUCUUUUCAACUCAGAAUCGAAGAACCCCCGAAUCUUUAAACUCAGAAUCGAAGAACCCCCGAAUCUUUUCAACUUAGAAUCGAAGAACCCCCGAAUCUUUUCAACUCAGAAUCAAAGAACCCCCGAAUCUUUAAACUCAGAUUCGAAGAACCCCCGAAUCUUUUCAACUCAGAAUCGAAGAACCCCCGAAUCUUUAAACUCAGAAUCGAAGAACCCCCGAAUCUUUUAAACUCAAAAUCGAAGAACCCCCGAAUCUUUAAACUCAGAAUCGAAGAACCCCCGAGUCUUUAAACUCAGAAUCGAAGAACUCCCGAAUCUUUAAACUCAGAAUCGAAGAACUCCCGAAUCUUUAAACUCAGAAUCGAAGAACCCCCGAAUCUUUAAACUCAGAAUCGA